UACGUAGGGGGCAAGCGUUGUCCGGAAUCAUUGGGCGUAAAGCGCGUGUAGGCGGCUCGACAAGUCCGCUGUGAAAGUCCAGGGCUCAACCCUGGGAUGCCGGUGGAUACUGUCGAGCUUGAGUCCGGAAGAGGCGAGUGGAAUUCCUGGUGUAGCGGUGAAGUGCGCAGAUAUCAGGAGGAACACCAAUGGCGAAGGCAGCUCGCUGGGACGUGACUGACGCUGAGACGCGAAAGCGUGGGGAGCAAACAGG
rnacentral:rRNA from 1 species